rnacentral:sRNA from 1 species
GUUGCCGCAAAAUCGGCAACCAGGUUUAGCAGCCUGAACAUCCAAGCGGACGACCGCUUUUUUAUCACGCGGUUUUUUU